rnacentral:rRNA from 1 species
UACGUAGGGUGCAAGCGUUAAUCGGAAUUACUGGGCGUAAAGCGUGCGCAGGCGGUUUUGUAAGUCUGACGUGAAAUCCCCGGGCUCAACCUGGGAAUUGCGUUGGAGACUGCAAGGCUAGAAUCUGGCAGAGGGGGGUAGAAUUCCACGUGUAGCAGUGAAAUGCGUAGAGAUGUGGAGGAACACCGAUGGCGAAGGCAGCCCCCUGGGUCAAGAUUGACGCUCAUGCACGAAAGUGUGGGGAGCAAACAGG